rnacentral:rRNA from 1 species
GAUGUCACUAUCAAUUUCUCUACCGAAGCCUUUUACACCGACUCUAAACUAGUGUGAAGUCUUGCCCUCUGGGUCAAGACAAUACCGCUGAAAUGCUGUGAUCACGUAAGUGUACCAGCAGCCUACUUAGGCCCACAGAUCAAGUGGCGGUGGUCUCUAGCUUUAACUAGAGACUAUAAUAUGACCGGUCUUAACUUCAACGGUUAAGAAUCAGCGUUCCGUAGGUGAACCUGCGGAAGGAUCAUUACUGAGUUAGGGUCUUCUAGGCCCGAUCUCCCAACCCUUUGUGUAUCUACCAUGUUGCUUUGGCGGGCCCGUCUUUAACCGGACCGCCGGAGGUCUUCGACCUCUGGCCAGCGCUCGCCAGGAGCCUUCAACAAACUCUUCUAACCAUGUGAAAUCUGAAAAUAGUUAAAUAAACUAAAACUUUCAACAACGGAUCUCUUGGUUCUGGCAUCGAUGAAGAACGCAGCGAAAUGCGAUAAGUAAUGCGAAUUGCAGAAUUCAGUGAGUCAUCGAAUCUUUGAACGCACAUUGCGCCCUUUAGUAUUCUGAAGGGCAUGCCUGUUCGAGCGUCAUUAUCACUAAUCAAGCCUGGCUUGCUGUUGGACCAUUCGUCGGUAAGAGACAGGUCCUAAAGAUAAUGACGGCGUCAGUUGGACCCUAGAUGCAACGAGCUUUAACCAGCACGCGUUUUAGUUGGCCCUUUUGACCCGAUCUUUUCUAACCAAUUUUUAAAAAGGUUGACCUCGGAUCAGGUAGGAAUACCCGCUG